rnacentral:lncRNA from 1 species
AGAAGUCAACUAAACCUCCGAAACAGUGAUUAAAGGCUUACCCAUAUAUUGAAGGAGAGAUUAAGCAAAAAAUAAUAAUGGAUUUCGGGAAGAAGGAAAAAAAACAGAGUAGAAUCUGUCAGGUGAGGUUUUCAUUUUUCAAGUCCGCUGGUCUUUGGCCUAACACCAAAACUGUCCUAUAUUUAGUGUCCAGUUUAGAUAAACUGGUGACAUAAUCUAGAAUGGCCCAUAAUAAAAGUAGACUCCAAAAGAACCUUCUCCGGACCUCAAUAAAA